AGCUCCAAUAGCGUAUCUUAAAGUUGCUGCAGUUAAAAAGCUCGUAGUUGGUGGUUCGCUACUGCCUAGUGUUCGCUUUGCGUGCGUGGGUGUGAGUUGAUACUUGGCUCGUUUAAAACGAGCUACAAACACUGUGAGUAAAUUAGAGGGAUCCAAACAGGCUUGGCCAGAAUGUUUCAGCAUGGUAUGGGUUCUCGACUACUUCAGCUUUUAGCUUCGCUAAUGUUGCUGAAGGAGUAAAGGUUAAUAGGGAUGGAUGAUGGGAUUUGUAUUGAGUUGCUAGAGGUGAAAUUCUUGGACCAACUCAAGACAUCCAGAAGCGAAAGCUCUUCUCACAGAUGCUCUUA
rnacentral:rRNA from 1 species